UGGAAAACCCCAUGGAUGGAGGAGCCUGGCAGGCUGCAGUCCACGGGGUUGCAGAGUCAGACAUCCCUGAGCGCAGAAGCACACAAGACAUUCAAGAACCAGGCUGUUCUCACUGGGACAAAAUGCCCAACACAACCAGAUGCCCCGGUGAUUUGAAGAUAUUAAAGCUAGAAAUUGGAACUGAAAGUCCAGAGAAUUCAAGACGUGGUUUUUAAAAAACAUGAACUCAUCUAAUUAAACUUAAAAGUUGAUGCAGUUAUCAAAUCCCAGGACUAUAGUUCCUUUUAUUUCAGCCUUAUCAGAAGCCUGUGACUUACAUCUUAAGCAAAAACAAGCCUUCAAUGCUGAUGGCCUCAUCUCCCGAGUGCAGUGACUUUGGGAUGACCUUUCCCUGUGGAUAGCCAUCAGCAAGACACCUACAGGACGCAUUCUUCCAGGUUCUUACCAAAAAUUCAUCUAAAGGGAAAAGUCACCCAGGGAGGCAAGACUCUUAAGUGGAGGGAGUGAUGUUUAUGUGCAUUAAACCAAGCAAUCACUGGGGUCUGGACAGUUUUAAAAAGGAAAGCACAGCACAGCUGAACAACGAACGGGAAGUCCCAAAGAGGCAUCACUUGGACAUCUUGGUCUCGGCAGGUGUCUCCCCAGUGUCCAGGGUCUUCAGCAACCGGAAGAGGCCCGCAGCCUCGCGGAUCCUGCUAAACUCAAUGCAGAAGGCCUGCACUUCUAUAAACAAGUCCUGCACGUUGAUGAUCUUGUUACGGAUCAGGGAUUGGAGAAAGACACACACAAGACGCACCAGACGAUUCUGAAAAAGGAACCUGUGUUAGCGUCUGUUUUCAGGGCAGGUAUUUAUAAAGGUUACAAAAAUUGUUACUUACCUGCAUAUAUUUAUCCUUAAUUUGUUCACAGGUAGAAAUGCAAUUGGAUAUAUAAAGGUGAAUAAAUUCAGGAGGUAGAUCAA